GCAUUCUCUUUGUGUUACUUAUCCUUUUCGGAAGUUUUUCUAGCAGCCUUUCUGAGGAAAAAUGCCGCUAUGAUAAGAUUUAUACUGAGGUCUUACGAUUCUGCAAAGGAUCUGACUCUGCCAAUUGCAACAGCGAGUUAACCAACAUAACCACUUUCCUGCAAUCCUUCUUGACCAAAGCGGAUUUCUUUUGUAAGUUACCUCGUCUCAAGAGAUAUUGCAAGGCUUGCCCUGAAAUUCCAUCGUCUGGGAAAGAUCUGAUCGCAGCGGGAGGAAAUGCAACGAAUGCUACCGGAAAUGGCAGUUCGGAUACCGGAAAUGGUAAAUCAACUACCGCAAAUUGAGGUGCAAAGGAAAGCACUUAAAAAUUUCUUCUGCAAAGCAAAAAAAAAAUCAAUAAAAAAAUGAAAGAGUUUCAAGUUA